AUACAUAUAAAAAUGAGUACUACAUUCUUUGACAAUUAUAUGGCAGCUGAAGAAGUAGGGGCAUUGAGGAAUGAAGGAUACCUCCAAAUUUUUAUAUUAAUAGGUACUGUCAUUUUUGUACUCCUCAAUACUAUAUUUAGAGAUGAAAAAAUAAAAAAUAUUGAGGAUAAAAUAAAACAAAAUGAGGAUAAAAUAGAAAAUAUUGAGGAUAAAAUAGAAAAUGUUGAGGAUAAAAUAGAAAAAAAUGAGGAUAAAAUAGAAAAUAUUGAGGAUAAAAUAGAAAAUAUUGAGGAUAAAAUAGAAAAAAUUGAGGAUACAAUAGAAAAAAUUGAGGAUAAAAUAGGAAAUAUUGAGAAUAAAAUAGAAAAACUUGAGGAUAAAAUAGGAAAUAUUGAGAAUAAAAUAGGAAAUAUUGAGGAUAAAAUGGGAGAUAUGGAAGAUAAAAUAGGAAAAAUUGAGGAUAAAAUGCAAGCCCAAUUAGAAGAUCUAAAAUGUUUCUUACAGGAUCAAUGGGCAAACACCCACUCUACCAGAAACAGACCUGUUUCUGAACCUUUGAAUGAGGAAAUUUCCUUCCCUGAAAUAGAGAUGGAAAACACCUUCCCUAUAGCCCAGUUAACAGACGGCUUCUCUCGUGCAGUGCAAAUCUUGUCUGAAUUUAAUCCCCAAAACCCUUCCCCUGCAAUCCCAGCUUCUCAUGUUCCUUCUCCUACAGAAAACCAAAUUCCAAUGCAAGGGAGAUCUUGUCCUCCUAGAGAAACCUGUCCUUGUCAAACUGACCCACAGGUGCAAAAUUCAACUAGAGGCCUGUUUCCUCUAAGAGAAGUACCUGAAAUAGGACGAAAUGGGGAUGUGGUGACUUUAAGACAUAGGAUACCGUUUACUCCCCAAGAAAUAAAUGAAUUUACACGAAAUAUCCCCACAUAUGAACAAGAUCCUUUUCUAGUAACAAAAAAGAUGGGAGACAUAUUUUUUCAAUAUAAUCCGUCUUACAAGGACGUUGAGAGCUUACUACAGGCUUUUUUAAGUGAAUGUGAAAAAAAUAAAAUAAUUGCUCAUGUCAACAAAACCCGGGGGCGUAAUGCAGCACAUUGGCCAUCUCAGGAUCCCGAAUGGGACUAUAAUAAUCCUGAGGACUAUCUACAACUAUACCGUUGUAGAGAGGCCAUCCUAACGGCCAU
rnacentral:lncRNA from 1 species